rnacentral:lncRNA from 1 species
UUCCCUUAUUAAUUUGUGAUAACUCUGUCCUUUUUCUGCUGACUAAUGUGAAUUUGUUCUAACAUAUUCUAAGGGACAAAUGAAACAAUGUCAUAUUUCGUUUCUGUUGGAAUAUAACCAAGAAUUUCUUAAUUGUUAUCUUGCAUAAUUAUAUAUUUUCUUAAUUCUAAUCAACUCACAUGUACAACUCUUAUCCCAUAGGUUCUCCUAAAAGAUUCGUUCUUAUGGGUUUUUCUUAGUGUUCAUUGAUUUGAAAACUAUUUUCCAAUUUGACUGUUAAUGUAGUUGGGAGAUUAUACUAUUAUUGCAGUAGUAAUUUUGCCUAGCUGUUUGAGUUUGUGUUAUCUUGAUCAAAGGCUUGUGCUAGCUCCUUGGAGAAACACACUAUAGUGAUGAACAUCCAGAUGUUGAUUUAUAUCCAUUUGAGGAUGUUCUUAAGGUAUAGAUUGCAGUGUGAUUCAUAAUAAUAUUUCUUGUUUCUGUUUAUCAUUAUGCUGUGCGUAGGAUCUGAAAGCUUCCUUGACUUUAGUCAGUUCAAAAAUAAUGUUACCUUUUUCUAGCAUAAUAUCAUAACCCUCCUUUCAAUCUCUAUGCCAUCUUUAGGCACUUUCAAUCUCAAAGUGGACGUUCAUUGUGUUUGCAUUUCUUGUGCUUAGUAAAUUUGGAGUUGUGCUACUGUUGUGUUGUAUGACCCAUAAAAGGCUUUUAAAGUUCGUUUAACCUCAUUAUUUAAGCUGGCUAUAAACAGAAAAAUGUAUUUGGUGGGGGGAUGCUGAUGUUUUCUUAGAUAACCUUGGAUGCAAAGACAAAUUGGGGUCUCUUAGACAUGUUGAAGGUUUUUUUUUUGUACUUCUUAUUCUUUUCCAUCUCUACAUUACAACUGAGUGGAUAUACUCAUUUAUAUUUACAUAUGCUCGUUAUUUUCAUCCUCGAUUUUGCUGUCGCUGAUGAAUCGGCAAGCAUUAUUCAUUCUCUAUGAUAUUUGACAUAAUUUUUGGCAGCUUUCUCUGUUUUCUCUAUCUUGAGAUGUACC